rnacentral:rRNA from 1 species
UAGGGAAUCUUCGGCAAUGGACGAAAGUCUGACCGAGCAACGCCGCGUGAGUGAAGAAGGUUUUCGGAUCGUAAAACUCUGUUGUUAGAGAAGAACAAGGACGUUAGUAACUGAACGUCCCCUGACGGUAUCUAACCAGAAAGCCACGGCUAACUACGUGCCAGCAGCCGCGGUAAUACGUAGGUGUCAAGCGUUGUCCGGAUUUAUUGGGCGUAAAGCGAGCGCAGGCGGUUUCUUAAGUCUGAUGUGAAAGCCCCCGGCUCAACCGGGGAGGGUCAUUGGAAACUGGGAGACUUGAGUGCAGAAGAGGAGAGUGGAAUUCCAUGUGUAGCGGUGAAAUGCGUAGAUAUAUGGAGGAACACCAGUGGCGAAGGCGGCUCUCUGGUCUGUAACUGACGCUGAGGCUCGAAAGCGUGGGGAGCAAACAGG